rnacentral:rRNA from 1 species
CCUACGGGAUGCAGCAGUGGGGAAUAUUGGACAAUGGGGGCAACCCUGAUCCAGCCAUGCCGCGUGUGUGAAGAAGGCCCUCGGGUUGUAAAGCACUUUCAGUGAGGAAGAACGCCUGGUGGUUAAUACCCAUCAGGAAAGACAUCACUCACAGAAGAAGCACCGGCUAACUCCGUGCCAGCAGCCGCGGUAAUACGGAGGGUGCGAGCGUUAAUCGGAAUUACUGGGCGUAAAGCGCGCGUAGGUGGCUUGAUAAGCCGGUUGUGAAAGCCCCGGGCUCAACCUGGGAACGGCAUCCGGAACUGUCAAGCUAGAGUGCAGGAGAGGAAGGUAGAAUUCCCGGUGUAGCGGUGAAAUGCGUAGAGAUCGGGAGGAAUACCAGUGGCGAAGGCGGCCUUCUGGACUGACACUGACACUGAGGUGCGAAAGCGUGGGUAGCAAACAGGAUUAGAUACCCGUGUAGUC